rnacentral:lncRNA from 1 species
CCGAAAGGUAAUGGCAGCGAUGCUGCUUCUCCAGGCGAUGGAAUAUGAGACCAUCAUCAGGUGGAGGAACUUCCUCAAAAGAUUGAACUUUCUAGAAGAACCAUCAACACCUAAGAACUUUAUAUAUGACGUUUGCUUAGGAAUUUACAAAAACAUGAUUGGUUUGCUCCAACAAGUUAAGAAGAUUUUCACCCAGAAAAAUCUUCUUCGUCACACUUAACACUAGCCACCCACUCCUUGUAGUGGGAAGUGGUUGGGUAAAAACAUAUAACACAUCUACUCUAUGCUUAGUUUUAAUAAAAAUAUAAUAGAAUAGAUAUGUAUGUAUGUCUCAUGGCCAGUCCCGAAAGGUAAUGGCAGCGAUGCUGCUUCCCCAGGCGAUGGAAUAUGAGACUGCCAUCAGGUGGAGGAACUUUCUGAAAGGAUUGAACUUUCUAGAAGAACCAUCAACACCCAAAGGACUUUCUAUGGGAGGUUUACUUAUGAAUUUACAAACAUGAUAGGUUUGCUCCAAAAAGUUAAGAAGAUUUUCACCUAGAAAAAUCUCCUUCGUCACGCUUAACACUAGCAACCCACUCAUUG